GGGAUCUUCAGGCAGAGGACGUCCCUGCCACAGACACAGCCGCACUACUCUUCGCUGUCUCUCUAAAAUACCCAGACUCACGCUCACACGCAAUCUUUUCUUUUUGUGUUAAGCGCGAUAAACAUCCUUGAUACGCACCGAUCUCUCCCUUUCUCACAAACUCCCCAAAAACACACACGCAUCGGCAAGCACGCGAGUACCCCUCUCAACAACAUCGCCUAAUAGGGGCAGCAACUGUCUCACUCAACGAUUUCGCAGCUCUGCCCAUCGCUCACUGUAAGUCACCAUGAGCACCAACCAGCCGAUCGUGAAGCCCUUCAUCUACCUUCGUAUCCCAAGCGAGGACGCGAAGCCGGUGGAAGAGCUGCACUUCAAUGGCCACAACGAGGCUGAGCUGCGACACACCCUGACGCGGUGCUUUCGCCAGUCGCUUCUGUCGGACGACCAGAAGAAGGACAUGGCGCGUCACCUGGCCGACAAAGCCAGCGAGAGCGCAAAGAAGCACGCAGUGAAGGGGGACGGCGACGCCAACGCCGCUGGCAGCGGCGCGGAGCCGCCGGCAGACGUGGAGCAGCAGCAGGCGGCCAUGAUUGAUCAGUAUCUGGAGCAGGCCUCCUACGAGAUCAUCCCUGUUACCAUGCCGAUGCGCAGCACGCAGUACAUCGGCACCUCGCUCUACAUCGACGACAGCGGCGCUUUCAAGGAUCUGCCCCUGAACUACCGCGCCAGCAAGCUGGCACAGCGCGAAAUUCGUGGGGAUGCGUUUCUGUUGUCAAACCAUGACGACCCCGCGCUAGACGAGUGGGGACGAGUCGACUGCCCCCUGCAGCGUUACGAGGAGCUCUACGCGAACCCGCCGCAGAUCGCUUAUGACCCGUCCAACCAAGCCCAGAUGACGCAAGCCGCCAUGCUGCGGGAGACCGAGACGAAGAAGAUCAGCUUGGAGGACUACGAGAAGGCUCAGAAGGCAAAGGAGGACGGAAAUCGUCUCUUCGCCGCCAGUGAUUUGCCUGCGGCUGUGCAGGCCUACAGCAUGACGGUCGACUUGACUGAUGGGCGGCGAGAUUUGCUGCCGAAUGAGGAGGCCGCUACGCAGCUGCGCCUCUCUGCAUUGCUGAACCGAUGCCUGUGCUUCACGCGACUUAAAAAGUUCCCAGAGGCGGUCAAGGACGCGCAGGCUGCUGCCUACCUGGACCCAAAGUCGCUCAAGGCGUACUACCGUCUCACGCACGCGCUUUGCGGAGCGCAAGAGUACGAGGCUGCGGCGCAGGCGUGCGAAAAGUAUGCCCAGCUCGGCGGCGCGGAGGAGGACGUGACGGCGAUGCGCACGGCCGUCGCAGCGGGCGAGGCGGAGGCAAAGAAGGUACAGAAACAGAUUUUCUCCAAGAUGUUCCGCUCGUAGCCCAAAUUACCGUCUGAGCCCUCCUAAUGAGAACGCAGCCAUGAAAAGAACAAUGACGACGUGCCCAGCUGCACCUCUCGUUCUUGAAAAGCUUUCUCCAUGUGUGCCUGUUGUUUCUCCUCCUGGUCGUCGAUGCACGCACCGUUGCGCGCUGCCGUUGACCGCCUGCAGCGUCUGACGAAAGUGCUGAAAGUGCCGCCUUCCUCCUUCGUCAAGCCACUAAC
rnacentral:misc_RNA from 1 species